GCAGAACGCGAAGAACCUUACCUACUCUUGACAUCUAGCGAAGAUUGCAGAGAUGCAGUUGUGCCCUUCGGGAACGCUAAGACAGGUGCUGCAUGGCUGUCGUCAGCUCGUGUUGUGAAAUGUUGGGUUAAGUCCCGCAACGAGCGCAACCCUUAUCCUUAGUUGCCAGCACGUAAUGGUGGGAACUCUAGGGAGACUGCCGGUGAUAAACCGGAGGAAGGUGGGGACGACGUCAAGUCAUCAUGGCCCUUACGAGUAGGGCUACACACGUGCUACAAUGGUACGUACAGAGGGGAGGCAAGCUGGCGACAGUGAGCGGAUCUCUUAAAGCGUAUCGUAGUCCGGAUCGCAGUCUGCAACUCGACUGCGUGAAGUCGGAAUCGCUAGUAAUCGCAAAUCAGAAUGUUGCGGUGAAUACGUUCCCGGGUCUUGUACACACCG
rnacentral:rRNA from 1 species